rnacentral:rRNA from 1 species
AGUAAAAAGUCGUAACAAGGUUUCCGUAGGUGAACCUGCGGAAGGAUCAUUGUCGAAUCCUGCAUUGCAGUACCACUUGCGAACAUGUUCACAAACACAGGACCUGAUCAAGGGUGGGGAGUUCCUUUCACUUGAUCAGUGCCUAAGGGUGCCUUGGCAUUUUGCCUUGGUUCUUAACAAACCCCCGGCGCGAGAAGCGCCAAGGAUUACUCAUAACAAGGGCUCUAUCCAUCCUCUCCCGUUUGCGGGGCCUAGGGGACUGGAGAUGGCUUCCUUUUAAACCAAAACGACUCUCGACAACGGAUAUCUCGGCUCUCGCAUCGAUGAAGAACGUAGCGAAAUGCGAUACUUGGUGUGAAUUGCAGAAUCCCGUGAACCAUCGAGUCUUUGAACGCAAGUUGCGCCUGAAGCCAUUAGGCUAAGGGCACGUCUGCCUGGGCGUCACGCAUCGCAUCACCCCUUCCCCUAUACUGGUGGAUGGGGUGGAAUGUGACUUCCUGUGCCUACGGUGCAGCUGGUCAAAAUUUGAGUCCGGAACGUAGGAUAUCACGGCAAGUGGUGGUUGGACAACAACUCGCGUCCUGUCGUGUGCCGAACCUCCAGUGACUAUCAAGACCCUAAGGCACAUGAUACCAUAAUCUGUGGAAAACUUGUGCUACGACCGCGACCCCAGGUCAGGCGGGACUACCCGCUGAAUUUAAGCAUAUCAU